GUUAUCCGGAUUUACUGGGUGUAAAGGGAGCGUAGACGGUGUGGCAAGUCUGAUGUGAAAGGCAUGGGCUCAGCCUGUGGACUGCAUUGGAAACUGUCAUACUUGAGUGCCGGAGGGGUAAGCGGAAUUCCUAGUGUAGCGGUGAAAUGCGUAGAUAUUAGGAGGAACACCAGUGGCGAAGGCGGCUUACUGGACGGUAACUGACGUUGAGGCUCCAAAGCGUGGGGAGCAAACAGGAUUAGAUACCCUGGUAUCCACGCCGUAAACAUGAAUACUAGGUGUCGG
rnacentral:rRNA from 1 species